AUCCCUUGACAUCCUGCGAACUUUCUAGAGAUGGAUAAGUGCCUUCGGGAACAUGAAAACAGGUGCUGCACGGCUGUCGUCAGCUCGUGUCGUGAGAUGUUGGGUUAAGUCCCGCAACGAGCGCAACCCUCGUCACUAGUUACUAACGGUUCGGCCGAGGACUCUAGUGAGACUGCCUUCGUAAGGAGGAAGAAGGUGAGGACGACGUCAAGUCAUCAUGGCCCUUACGGCUAGGGCAACACACGUGCUACAAUGGUUAGGACAAUGAGAAGCGAUACCGCGAGGUGGAACAUAUCUAUAAACCUAAUCUCAGUUCGGAUAGUAGUCUGCGACUCGACUGCUUGAAGCUGGAAUCACUAGUAAUCGUAAAUCAGCUAUGUUACGGUGAAUACGUUCCCGGGUCU
rnacentral:rRNA from 1 species